UGCCUAAAAACACUUAAAAAGCAUAAAAUAAAAAGAAAAUUUAUUUGUUUUACAUAUAACAUUGAAAUAUGUUUCAUUCGUGAACACCAGCUAUUAUAUUUUCACUUGUGGCUACGCCACUCGUGAAAAUAUUGCAUCUGGUGUUCACUCAGUGAAAUUAUAUUUCAAUCUUACAUGCAAAACAAACAAAUAUCCUCUAUAUCAUUAUCAUUUCCAAAGGUAUUUUUCUCUCAAUACAUUUCCUUUUCUAACAUAACUGCCCAUUCAAACUCCAACACGUACAUUACAAAACUGACUUAAUCCUUGAUUUUUAAAGGAUUUUUUUGCAUAUAUUUUUAUAAACAAAAAUAAGGGUUCCUGAUAAUUUAAUCUCUUUACACAUUUUUGUUCACAGGUAGAGGCCUUUUAAUAUGCCCUAAAGAAUUUCAUAUUAGUUAUACCCCCUGGCGUCCGUCCAUCUGUCUGUCUAUCCACACUUACAGGACAGUAAUUAUGUGGCUAGAGGGACAAUAGAGAUGUCGGAGAUCAUUGAACCAUCUUGUGAAGAAAUUGAAAGGCCUUUGUUUCCUCAGCUUAUAGUAGUUGAUAAGGUGAAAAGAAGUAUUAAAGGCAGUCUC